rnacentral:rRNA from 1 species
UACAUGUGGGGCAAGCGUUGUUCGGAAUUACUGGGCAUAAAGGGUGCGUAGGCGGUUUGUUUAGUCACUGGUGAAAGUUUUCGGCCCAACCGGAAAAUUGCCUGUGAUACUGGCGAACUUGAGUGCGUGAGGGGUGGGGGAACGAGCAGUGUAGCGGUGAAAUGCGUAGAUAUUGGGAGGAACACCAAUUGCGAAGGCAGCUCGCUGGGACGUCACUGACGCUGAGACGCGAAAGCGUGGGGAGCAAACAGG